GAUGAACGCUGGCGGCGUGCCUAAUACAUGCAAGUCGAGCGAACAGACGAGGAGCUUGCUCCUCUGACGUUAGCGGCGGACGGGUGAGUAACACGUGGAUAACCUACCUAUAAGACUGGGAUAACUUCGGGAAACCGGAGCUAAUACCGGAUAAUAUAUUCAACCGCAUGGUUCAAUAGUGAAAGACGGUUUUGCUGUCACUUCUACAUGGCUCCGCGCCGCUUUGGCUAGUUGGUAGGGUAACGGCUUCCCAAGGCAGCGAUGCGUAGCCGACCGGCGAGGGGGAUCGCCGGCAUGAGAGGGGAGACGGGGACCAGGGGCCUGCGGGAGGGAGCAGUAGGGAAGCUGAGGCAACGGGGGGAAGCAUGACGGAGCGGCGGAGCGUGAGUGAUGAAGGUCUUCGGAGCGGAAAACGCUGUUAUGAGGGAAGAACAAAUGUGUAAGGAGCUAUGCACGUCUUGACGGUACCUGAAGAAAAAGCCACGGCUAACUACGUG
rnacentral:rRNA from 1 species